rnacentral:rRNA from 1 species
GACGGAGGAUGCAAGUGUUAUCCGAAAUCAUUGGGCGUAAAGAGUCUGUAGGUGGCCUAUAAAGUCUGACGUUAAAUGUCAUUGCUUAACUUUGAAACUGCGUCAGAAACUUAUAGGCUGGAGUAAAGUCGAAGUAGAAGGAAUUUCCAGUGAAGCGGUGAAAUGCGUAGAUAUUGGAAGGAACACCGAUGGCGAAAGCAUUCUACUAGGCUUUUACUGACACUGAGAGACGAAAGCUAGGGUAGCAAAUGGG